rnacentral:misc_RNA from 1 species
GAGGUGAAAUUCUUGGAUU